CCUGCGUGGUAUUACAGUGAGCCCGUAUAUACGAAAGUUGCAUUUGCCAUUUAUUACUUAGCUAAUAAAAAAUACAUAGUAUACAAUCGGUGACUCAUUGUUAUAUUUAUCCUGAUACCAGAUUCGAAUUUACUCUAACAAGAGUAGGACUCGGGUUCAGGAGAGUAGGACUCGGGUUCAGGAAGGCAGGACUCGGGUUCAGGAGAGCAGGACUCUUGAUCAGGAGAGCAGGACUCUUGAUCAGGAGAGCAGGAUUCGGGUUCAGGAGAGCAGGACUCGGGUUCAGGAGAGCAGGACUCUUGAUCAGGAGAGCAGGACUCGGGUUCAGGAGAGUAGGACUCUGGUUCAGGAGAGCAGGACUCGGGUUCAGGAGAGCAGGACUCGGGUUCAGGAGAGCGAUUUGAACUAUGAGGAUUUCGACUCAGCCGACAAAGAUUGCUUUCAAGAAGGAUUGGGUCCACUUUUAGAUCUAGUGGAGGAUGCAGAGGAUUUGGAUGAUGACGUUUGGGAGCCACCCCACUCCAAAUCAGAUUCCCCAAGACCCAGAGGGACUGCUUCAAAGACUAUCAAGACAUGCACAAGCUACGGUGAAAGGGAAAUCUAAUCAGCUACACCUGGGACGUAAAACGAACAGGAAUGCCAUUUGUAAAUAAUUCACCUUGUUUCUAUUUUUGCACCUUGAAGGACACAAUGUUUUGAUAAGGCAUUUUUAUAUAUAUUUGAAUGUAAAUCUGUUGCUUUUAUGUUGUUUUUGUAAACAGUUCAUUUGUAUGUGGGACCAAUACAUUGGAUAUGCCCAGGGUAAACAUUCAGGCACUGUGGAGAGGCUGAAAAAAACAACACUUGGAUAUCCCCUGUAUGUUCCCUUAACCAACAAUUCAGUUUAAGAAAAUAGAGUUAAGAAAAUAUUUACGAAAUAAACUAAAGUAAAUAUAAAUAACACAAAAUAGCAAUAAUGAGGCUAUAUACAGGGGUAACAGGUACCGAGUCAAUGUGUGUGUGUGGGGGGGGGG
ensembl:lncRNA